rnacentral:lncRNA from 1 species
GGGUUAGGGUUAGCAAAAUACACACAUCACAUUCCAUGCCGAGGGGGGACAAACUUGGAGUAGAUCCACGGGUCCUUUGUGUUGAACAUACAAAGCUUAGUACAAAAGACACAAAGGAAGCGGUCAUCAUCCAAAAAAAGAGAUAAGGAAGAACAUUGUCUUCCUUCAUUAGCACCCACAAUCAAACAUUGCUUGUCAUCUUGACCAAGCAUUAAGUGGGGAGUGUAGAGAUUUCCACAUUCCAAGAGGGUGCCGGGAUCAAAUGGAAAAAUUAGCCAAGGGCCUAAGCCGAGGCUAUCCCUUCCUUCCCUUAGAAUGUCACUCCUACAUUCACACACAAAAAACAUUUUUAUACACAUAGUCUCUAUGAACAAAACUAAUUGCAAUGCUUUUACCACACAAGAUGUUCAAAGAGUCAUGUGCAUUAUCAAGAUCAAUUCUACAGACAUCAUCACUAACUUGAGAAUUUUUAAGCACACUAUUCACAUGCUCAAGUAGUGAACUACAUU